rnacentral:misc_RNA from 1 species
AACCAUUCUCACCUGCGGCUAGACCUGCGGAAGGAUCAUUACCGAGUUUACAACUCCCAAACCCCUGUGAACAUACCUAUACGUUGCCUCGGCGGAUCAGCCCGCGCCCUGUAAAACGGGACGGCCCGCCCGAGGACCCUAAACUCUGUUUUUAGUGGAACUUCUGAGUAAAACAAACAAAUAAAUCAAAACUUUCAACAACGGAUCU